AACGUAGGGGCCAAGCGUUAUCCGGAAUUACUGGGCGUAAAGCGCGUGCAGGCGGCGCCUUAAGUCGGACGUGAAAGCUCCUGGCUCAACUGGGAGAGGUCGUUCGAAACUGGGGUGCUAGAGGCUGGUAGAGGCGAGUGGAAUUCCCGGUGUAGUGGUGAAAUGCGUAGAGAUCGGGAGGAACACCAGUGGCGAAAGCGGCUCGCUGGGCCAGGCCUGACGCUCAGACGCGAAAGCUAGGGGAGAGAACGGG
rnacentral:misc_RNA from 1 species